ACGGAAGGCAGCAGUGGGGAAUAUUGGACAAUGGGGGGAACCCUGAUCCAGCGACGCCGCGUGAGUGAAGAAGUAUUUCGGUAUGUAAAGCUCUUUAAGCAGGGAAGAAAAUGACGGUACCUGCAGAAUAAGCCCCGGCUAACUACGUGCCAGCAGCCGCGGUAAUACGUAGGGGGCAAGCGUUAUCCGGAUUUACUGGGUGUAAAGGGCGUGUAGCCGGGUCGGCAAGUCAGAUGUGAAAUCCAUGGGCUUAACUCAUGAACUGCAUUUGAAACUGUUGAUCUUGAGUAUCGGAGAGGCAAUCGGAAUUCCUAGUGUAGCGGUGAAAUGCGUAGAUAUUAGGAGGAACACCAGUGGCGAAGGCGGAUUGCUGGACGACAACUGACGGUGAGGCGCGAAAGCGUGGGGAGCAAACAGGAUUAGAUACCCUGGUA
rnacentral:rRNA from 1 species